CGCCAGGGGACUACAAGUGCCAGCUUAAAACCCAAAGGACUUGGCGGUACUUCAAAGCCCCCUAGAGGAGCCUGUUCUAAAACCGAUAACCCCGUUUAACCUCACCGCCCCUUGAUCUCCCCCGCCUAUAUACCGCCGUCGCCAGCCCACCCCGCAAGCGCCCCGCAGUGGGCUAAACAGGUAUAACCUGGGACGUCAGGUCGAGGUGUAGCGAAUGGGGCGGGAAGAAAUGGGCUACAUUCCCUAAAUUAGGGUACCACAAAAAUGCCAUGAAACCUGACACCCCAAGGUGGAUCUAGCAGUAAGG
rnacentral:rRNA from 1 species